UUUCUUGCAGCAAUCAGUUCCUCUAUACACAAGAGGCAGAGAUGUGAAAAGAUGGCUUUAGGUUUUUCAUUAGUGUUGGAAAUGAAUGCUAUGUGCACAAGGUCUAAAAAAAUGCAAACAGAUACUCCCAUGUUCAUUGCAGCGUUAUUCACAAUGGCCAGAAGGUGGAAGCAACCUAAGUGUCCUUCAACUGAUGAAUGGGAUGUAUCCAUAUGCUGGAAUAUUAUUCAGCCCUAAAAAGGAAGAAAAUUCUGACACAUGCUACAACAUGGAUGAACCUUGAGAACAUAAUGUUAAGUGAAACAAGCCAGACACAAGAAGACAAAUACUGUGUAUUCCACGUAUAUGAGGUCCCCAGAGCAGUCAAAUCCAUAGAGACGGAAAGCAGAAUGGUGGUGCCGGGGCUGGGGGAGGGCGAAUGGGGAGUUGUUGUUUAAUGGGUGCAGAGUUUCAGUUUGGGAAGAUGAAAAAGUUCUAGAGACGGAUGGUGGUGAUGAUUGCACAGCAGUGUGACUGUGCUGAAUGCCCCUGAGCUGUAGACCUGAAAAUGGCUAAGACGGUAAAUUUUAUGUCAUUGGUAUUUUAUGACAGUUAAAAAUAAAAAAUUCAUACGGAACAAUUUGCUGAACAGUCAGUCCCCAGUUGGUGGAAAUGAAGGUGUGCUCAGUUUUUUGCUUCUUCCAACACUGUUAUCCUUUGUAAAUAAGUUCAGGUUUACCUCUGGGAGAUAUUCACACGAGAGGAUUGACUGGUUAAACAGCUCGUAUAUUUUCCUCCUAGACUUGCGCCAACUGACACUCACCUCCAACCACCAGGAGAGCCUGAUCGCCUCCACCCUCGUGGCCAGCUGGGUGAGACGUGCUGCGGGGCCUGCAGCAACCUGGCUAGGCUGGAAGAGACUCCCACAACCCCCUUUCUGUCUGCUUUGGGUUAGGAUGGGCCACCAGGGAGAUGCCCUGGCAAGAUUGGGAGGGUGGAAGUGAGUCGGCAGUCUUUUCUGUGGCCUAUCUACUGACUCGCUCAUUCCCACAGGCAGAGGCUAGACUUGCACCGGCUCCACCUGCCCCAGCAUCCACCUUCAGCUCCACGCACUCCUGGGCCAAGUAUUCCAAGCUUCUACAGGAAACCUUUUUUGUCCUUGGCAACAAGAAGGGACAUGGAUUUCAGCCUAUCCUUGUGGGCUCCAGGCCACACUUGGGGUUCCAGCAGCUCUGGAUCCUCCCCUCCACUUUACACCCAUCUUCCCUCCUGACUCACUGCCACAAGGAUGUCAAGCUCCAGCAUCAGACUGAAGCCUUACAGAGGCCCCCGACCAGCAUCCGCAGUUACGGGUCUUGCUUCUUUGACUGAACCCAGGCUGAUAUAAAUGGGAUAUCUUUAAUUUUUCUUUAAAGUAUAAGUUGUAUGUGGGAAUGUAAAUUGGUGCAGCCAUUUUCGAAAACAGUAUGGACGUUCCUCAAAAAAUUAAAAAUGCAACCACCAUAUGAUCCACUUCUGAGUAUAUAUCCAAAGGAAAUGAAAACAGGAUCUUGAGAGAUGUCUGCACUCCCGUGUUCAUUGCAGCGUUAUUCACAACAGCCAAGGUAUGGGAACAACCUAAGUGUCUGUCGGUGGAUGAGUGGAUAAGGAAGAUGAGGUAUAUUUGUGCAAUGGAAUACUAUCAGCCAUGAGAAAGAAGGAAAUCCUGCUGUUUGUGACAACGUGGAUGGACCUUGAGGGCGUUAUGCUAAACGAGAUAAGAUGGACAAACACAGUAUGAUGUCACUUAUAUGUGGCACCUAAAAGAGCUGAACUCAUAGAAGCAGAGAGUAGAACAUGGUUACCAAGGGCUGGGAGGUGGGGGAAAAGGGGAGAUAUUGGUCAAGGAGUGCAAACUUCCAGCUAUAAAAAAAAAAUUAUAAUUAAAUAAACAAAAUACGAGUCGUAGGCAAGAAAGUGCACUCCUCGGGGUGCAACUCAAUGAAUUAAUCCACAGUGAACGUGCCCGGUUAACCACCACCCAGGUCAAGAAACUGGACAGCACCGACCCCACCUCUGCCACAAUGAUCUCCAUCAGUCACUAGCCACUCCCUCCUCCCCAGAUUAACCACUGGCUUCUCACACCGCACCUCAGUACAUAAUUGCGUAUCCUGGUUUUAAGUCAUUCUGGUUCUUCUAUGUGGGAUGCCGCCACAGCAUGGC
ensembl:lncRNA